UUUUCUUCCUAAAAUUGAUGAUAGGUACCAGAAGUUGUCUGGAAUGUUCCUCAUCAUGAAUGAAAACUAAUAUACAUUAUCCUGCUAUUUAAAGUACAGAUAUGUCUUACUGCAAUGUACCAAAAAAAGAAAAUUUAAACAUUUUUUGGUUCAUAAAAUAGUACCAAUUGGCAAAUAUUUAACACCUACACCAGACUUUUUAUAUUGGAUAGUAUUUUCUUUUAAGGACAUUAUUUGAAAGACAGUGUAGCAAGCAAUGGCCAAGUCAUCAGGAACAAUGGGAGCACACAUAACAACAAGUGUAUGGAAAAAAAGAAAAGAAAAUGUAUAUGGUGCAUUCACAAAUGAAAUAUUAUAUUAAUGGUAGCCACCAUUAAGUUUAACCCAUUUUAUAUCAGUGUCAUCAAGAUAUGAAAUUAGAUGUAUUUGGUGUUUUUGGGUAUGUUUCAUUUAAGUGAAAUAUGGUUUAAAAGUUUAAUCCAUCAUGCAGUUAUGAAUGAGGCUGGUCUCUCAUGUUAUAUAGAAAAGAGAAUAAUGGGGAGCUUAAAUAUAAAGAAUAAUGUGCAAAAUAGAUAACGAAGAGAAAAAUGGUCUAAAGAAUUUAGAAAAUAAAUUAUCAAGUUAACGAACUUCCCUCUCAUGACUUUGUUACAAGGUAUCAGAGAAUGGUCACCGACUAUUUAACUCUGUGAUAAAUGGUGCCAAUGAAAUUAUAAAAUUGAAUUGUUGUGUUUGAAGAUUGUAGUUAUGACUUAGAUCUCUGUAUUUUAAUAUGUGUUCUAAUAAGUAUUAUGUUUGGAUAAAUGUGUUUUAUAUUUAAUACUGCCAAUUUUACUCUGGGCCUGUCUGGAAGAAUGUGCCUGAGUGGUUUAAUUCGUUCAACUACAUUUUUGCUAACCUUUCAACACUACGGUUGUGAGUUCCAAUCCCACUCGUGGUGAGUUCCAAUCCCACUCGCGGUGAUUUCCAAUCCCACUCGCGGCAAGUGUAUUUGACUCCAAUCUUAAUUGACUAGGGGUUGUCAGCUUUUGCACGGAAGACUGUGAUUCACUCUAGGCACUCUAGCUUCCUCCACCAAUACAAAUUGACCACUAUGAAAUAACUAUUAGUGCUGGAAGUGGUAUUUUACAUUGAUCAAUCAAUUAAUUUUUUUGAAAAGCCCUGCAAUAAAGAUAUUAACAAUAUUAACUAUUUUUGAUGAUUGUGAUAAUAAUUGCUUUAUUGAGAAUGUUGGUGUCAUAAGGUAUAUUAAUGCCCUUGUUAGCUCACCUGUCCCGAAGGGACAAGUGAGCUUAUGCCAUCACUUGGCGUCCGUCAUCGUCCGUCGUCUGUCGUCGUCUGUCGUCGUAAACUAUUUCAAGAAUCUUCUCCUCUGAAACUACUGGGCCAAAUACUUUCAAACUUUAACUGAAUGUUCCUUAGGGUAUCUAAUUUAUAAAUUGUAUCCGAAGUUUUGAUCUAUCAACAAACAUGGUCGCCAUUGCUAAAAAUAGAACAUAGGGGUCAAAUGCAGUUUUUGGCUUAUAACUCAAAAACCAAAGCAUUUAGAGCAAAUCUGACAUGGGGGUAAUAUUGUUUAUCAGGUCAAGAUCUAUCUGCCCUGAAAUUUUCAGAUGAAUCAGACAACCCCGUUGUUGGGUUGCUGCCCCUGAAUUGGUAAUUUUAAGGAAAAUUUUGCUGUUUUUGGUUAUUAUCUUGAAUAUUAUUAUAGAUAGAGAUAAACUGUAAACAGGAAUAAUGUUCAGCAAAGUAAGAUUUUACAAAUAAGUCAACAUGACGGAAAUGGUCAGUUGACCCCUUUAGGAGUUAUCAUGGUUAUUGCCCUUUAUAGUCAAUUUUUAACCAUUUUUCGUAAAUCUUAGUAAUCUUUUACAAAAAUCUUCUCCUCUGAAACUACUGGGCCAAAUACUUCCAAACUUUAACUGAAUGUUCCUUAGGGUAUCUAGUUUGUAAAUUGUAUCCGAAGUUAUGAUCUAUCAACAAACAUGGUCGCCAUUGCUAAAAAUAGAACAUAGGGGUCAAAUGCAGUUUUUGGCUUAUAACUCAAAAACCAAAGCAUUUAGAGCAAAUCUGACAUGGGGUAAUAUUUAUCAGGUCAAUUUCUAUCUGCCCUGAAAUUUUCAGAUGAAUCAGACAACCUGUUGUUGGGUUGCUGCCCCUGAAUUGAUAAUUUUAAGGAAAUUUUGCUGUUUUUGUUUAUUAUCUUGAAUAUAAUUAUAGAUAGAAAUAAACUGUAAACAGCAAUAAUGUUCAG
rnacentral:lncRNA from 1 species